CAGUCCAUCACAGAAGAGAGAACCGCGUUGCCAACUGCAGCAUCAGAGCUAGAGGAUUCAACCAAGGCAUAGUGUCUAAAGAAGCUGUAGCAGGUACUCCAGGACAAGUGGAGGUGGGCAGAUUCAGGAAGCAGCAUUGUGGAGUUCACACCUGUGGCCAAAUCUUGUCCACUUUUGAAGAGCUGAAAGAAACCAGUCAACUUAAAGCUCUUUGGCCCGUACCAAAUGUGGUGCUGUAUAAAAAGGGGGAAGCAACUUCUCUAGACUGCAUCUGUGGGGGAAAAGAACAGACAAAGCAAUUCUUUUUUUUUUUAACCUAAAUUUAAUGUAGGAUUAAGAUUUGCUACAUAUGAACCAGUAUUAAAACUUUUAUGUUAAAUGUAGUUUGAACAAAGCCAGUUAACACUGUUUUUUGUGUAGGGGCAUCUAACUUUAAGUAUAUUAGUAAUUUAUAAAAUUCAGCAUUGGCUCCCAGGGCUUUGCCUGAUGUAAAUGUAAAAGAUAACUUAGUAAGAGGAAGUAGAGUAAAGGAAACCCCACUCACUAUUCCUCUAAUCUGCAAGGUACUGCAGGGGGAAGAAAUUGGGAAAAGGAGCAAAGAUAGAAAGAACCCUUAGAUAAAGUUAAAAUAUUAAGUAUCUGUAAAAUUAAUAUAUAUAGUUUUGUUGUUGCACAUUUGCAUUGGCCGGAAUGCCAGCCACAGAAGUUGGUUUAAAUUCUUGAUUGUUAAUAAAUGUAUUUUUAGUUUAACUAAUUGUUGAUUGUGUAUCAAUAUCCAAAGAUAAGUAUUCUGGACAGAUCCUUGGCCAUGAUAAAAGAAAGCAGCAAUGUAUGCUUUAUACAGGAAUUUUGUAAAGGAAAUAUUAAAGCCUUACUUUAUAAAAAUAAGAAUAAAAAUAAAAAAUGUAGCAGCCUUUGCUACCCACAGCAUAACAGUCAUGAUUAUUAUUAUUGAUCUAAAAUUCACCAUUUUAGUAAAAGUGUCUAAAGUAAUUCCUAAUACU